rnacentral:lncRNA from 1 species
UGAGUACCUGUUAAAGCAUCUCCAACGCUGGUUGCUUACUACCCAGGUGGAUGCAUAAGUUCCGUCUCUUAACUUUUUCAGCAUUGGAGCAAAUACAGGUAGUUUGAUUGCUUAAUUUUCAGUCAUUUGCUUAUUUAAGCAAUGCAAAAAGUGUGUUGCUUCUCAUUAAAAAAAAACAAUAAAAUAUGGCUGAAAUCUGAACAGAAAAUCACGGACCAGAGGGAACAAAACAGAUUAACCUAUAACAAUGGAAUUCAGAAAAUCAAUGGUGAUUGUUGUAUCGCUGGAUUUGGGUGAGGAAAGAAAAACAGAGUGGAGAGUUCUAGAUACAAGAAGAAAGUGUGGGUGGGUUGAAAAUCAAUGGAACCAUCAAAAUGAAUGUUUUAUUAAGAAUAAUGAUAUAGUUAAUUAGGACACUAGUGUAGUUACUAUAUAACUUAUAUGGUUGACUCAUUAUACUAAUCUCUUUUAUUUUUGUAUCAUUUUAACUAUUAUCAAUACAAUAAUUUCUAAGCUUUUUCUCUCUAUUUUCAUGGAUGUCAUGUUUCUCAACAUGGUAUCAGAGCAUGAUUGGUAUCCACCUUGAACAAUUUUUUCCGCUGCAUUUUCUCGGGAAAGUUUGUUUUUCUCGUGCUAUUUUCCUUUUCUUCCUCAUUCUGAUUUUUCCCCUUUUCUCACUUCAUUUUCGUCAUUUUCCUUUUUCUAAUUCUCGAGAGAACAUCGAUUCCUCCUUUGUUCUUCGAUUCAGUUCGCUUUCUUCCACAUUUGUUCUUGAUUUUCAUUCUUUUCUUUCUGUUUCGAUCAAUUCCAUUUUGCGAUUUUGUUUUCAUCGCGAUUUGUUCUCUUCAUCUUCUUAAUCCCAACUUCUAGGGUUCAAAUUCUGUUUCUAAUUUUUGUUAUUCGGAAUACAAUUCUCGUUCGAUUUUCGAUCCUGUUUUAUCGUAAUUCAUGUUUUCCCCAAAUCUUAGGGUUUUUGUUUUGUUCUUCUUCUUUUUGAUUGAAUCAAUCAUUCAAUUUCUGGAUUCGGUUCAAUCUCUCUCAUUUCUUGUUCGGUUCUUUCAUUAGAAUCCAAUUUUUUGAUGAACCAGUGAUGUAUUUUCUAGUUACUUUCGCUUUUGAUUUUUCUCGCUUCGGAUCUUUCAAUUCAAUUUAUUUUCUUUUCUAUUCCAGUUUUUUUUUAUCUUCAUUCCAUAAUCGCAAAUUGAUUCUCAGAGUUUGAUAUGGUUAUGGUGCUUUGGGUUUCGCUUUGAAGGGAGUCAGAUUGUUUGCAUUUUGAAUCUUGGAAUCCUUGGAUGUUACUUUGAGUUCAGAGUUCGACGACAUCGACGGUGACUUGGCUCUGCAUACAUAUGCUUUGUGUGGAGGUUACAUGAUUGAAAAUUGAUGAUUCAAAAGAUUUAUUCACUGGUAAUUGCAAGCAAGGCUUAUGGUAAUUGAAAAUCGCCAGUAUUGUUGGGGUUGUGCACCUGCUGCAUGUUUAUAGAAGAGUUCUUGGUUUGUCUGCAAGCAAUAUUCUCAUAUGAAGAUAGAAGGCAUUUUUUAGUUGGAUUUUAUGAUGGUUGUGGUUGGUUUUGCUACAGCAAGUGCUAGUAUAUGGAUAAAGAAGACUUACAUAUUGGUGCUUAUUCCUUCACAAUAUAGGUUGGUUUUAUUUGAAUGAGGUUUUGUUGCGGCCAAUAUAUAGCUAUAGCAGAGUUACAGAGUUGAAGUUUUGCGAAAAACAUUAUUGGGAAAGUGGUGUGAGAUAGACUACACAGUGAAGCUUCAGGAAUUUUUUUGUUCUAGUUAUGUAAAUGUUCACAGCACUUGUUUUGGUGCUUUAUCUCUGAUGGUGUCACCACAUUAGUUGCUCCCAAUCAAGUGGAAUACCUCUAGUGCUUCGUCGGUUUAAUUUGGUGGUUUGUUGUUACUGAUUGGUGUCUAUGGGUUGAAGACACAUUUCACUUCAUACUCUGGUGAUUUUAGUCCAAUGGUGAUUAGCCUUUUUGGCUUGUUUUUAGCUUCUGUCAAUGGUUGUUAAGGGUGACACUUCUUCCAUUGAUGGUUAAGCAUUGAUAUUUUGUUGAUGAUUGCUUCUGCCUUUGUUAGGUGGUUAAGCUUGUUGUUUUUAACUUCUGUCUAUGAUGGUUAAGCAUGAUGCUUCUGUUAUGGAUGGUUAAGCAUUUAUAGUUGAGCUUCUGUCUAUGAUGGUUAAGCAUGAUGCUUCUAUCAUAGAUGGUUAAGCAUUUUUGUUAGCUUCUACCCUAUGGUGCACUCUUCAUAUUUUCUUUCUAGCUUCUGCCCUAUGGUGGUUAAGCACUCUUCAUAUUCUCUCUCGCUUCUGCCCUAUGGUGGUUAAGCAUUAUGCCCUUUGUUGGCUUUAUUGAUUUUAGCUUCUGUAAAGUGGUUAAGCCUCGAGUUUUGGCUUCUGCUCAAUGGUUAAGUGUUUUGCCUUAUGGCUUUGAUUAGUUACUACUUGAGUUCAGAUAUUGUUUGGAUUUGGCUUGGUGAAGCAUUGCUUACACAUCUACUUUGUUGGAGGGACUUCGGUAGCACAAGGUUCUGCAAUUGUUGUUGGCCUUUCUAGUUUACUAGUGGUUUAUUGGAUUUACAUAUCAUUGGCACUGCCCUAUUUUGGAAUAGUUGUUGAUACUAUCCUGCUGAAUAUUUGAGUUUUCUUUUGGCAUAUGGAUGUUGCGGAGACGUUGUAGGAAGCUUGCGAGGACCCAAAAGUUGGUCAACGGCUUCUAGGAGCUAUGCACCUCAACUUGUCAUAUACUUCUGCACUUUAUUUCUUCUGUUUGCUGUUAAGCUUUGUAGUUCAAACUCAAGUUAAGAGUUCUCUUACCUUGAGUUUGAGGGAGGCUAUUAAGAAUAAUGAUAUAGUUAAUUAGGACGCUAGUGUAGUUACUAUAUAAGUCACAUGGUUGACUCAUUUGUACUAAUCUCUUUUAUUCUUGUAUCAUUUCAACUAUUAUCAAUACAAUAAUUUAUAAGCUUUUUCUCUCUAUUUUCAUGGAUGUCAUGUUUCUCAACAUGUUUUUUAAUUAUUUUAUUACAAAAUUGUGUCGAUUGGUUCCA